rnacentral:rRNA from 1 species
AUUGAACGCUGGCGGCAGGCCUAACACAUGAAAGUCGAGCGAGCGGCGGACGGGUGAGUAAUUUCUGGGAAACUGCCUGAUGGAGGGGGGUAACCACUGGAAACGGUAGCUAAUACCGCAUCCCAUAAGAUGUGCCCAGAUGGGAUUGGCUAGUAGGUGGGGUAACGGCUCACCUAGGCGACGAGCCCUAGCUGGUCUGAGAGGGUGACCAGCCACACUGGAACUGAGACACUGUCCAGACUCCUACGGUAGGCAGCAGUGGGGAAUAUGGCACAAUGGGCGCAAGCCUGGUGCAGCCAUGCCGCGUGUGUGAAGAAGGCCUUCGGGUUGUAAAGCACUUUCAGCGGGGAGGCGUUACCCGCUGAAGAAGCACCGGCUAACUCCGUGCCAGCCGCCGCGGUAAUUC